GAUGAAGAACGUAGCAAAAUGCGAUAAGUAAUGCGAAUUGCAGAAUUUCCGUGAAUCAUCGAAUCUUUGAACGCACAUUGCGCCCGCCAGUAUUCUGGCGGGCAUGCCUGUUCGAGCGUCAUUACAACCCUCAGGCCCCCGGGCCUGGCGUUGGGGAUCGGCGGAAGCCCCCUGCGGGCACAACGCCGUCCCCCAAAUACAGUGGCGGUCCCGCCGCAGCUUCCAUUGCGUAGUAGCUAACACCUCGCAACUGGAGAGCGGCGCGGCCACGCCGUAAAACACCCAACUUCUGAAUGUUGACCUCGAAUCAGGUAGGAAUACCCGCUGAACUUAAGCAUAUCAAUAAGCGGAGGA
rnacentral:misc_RNA from 1 species